AAUAAUUUAAUUAACAAAAUCAAACUAGUAAUAUAAAUUUAUAUUUUAGCUAGAACAAAUAUACGUAUAAAAAUAGUAUAUGGUAGAGUGUAAUGGUAAAUUAUUAGUAGAUUACAGCUAAAAAUUCUGAUAUUUGAUAAAAUGUAAAAACUUAUAUUAAAAAUUAGAAAAGUUGAUAUAAAUAAUGUUCAUCAUUCUAUUCGCUUUCGCAAGAAAUAAAAAAAGCAUAAGACUAAAGAUAUUUAUGUAUAUAAUGUAACGUUAUUUAAAACCACACUGUUCCCGGAUGAAUAAUAAUAGAAAAAAAUAAUCUUUCAAGUCACGUUUCAUGCUCGUUAUAUUAACGUACAAGGAUCUAUUAUAAAUCACGACUCCCCCGACUCGGUGAAAGCUAAUCCCAGGCAAAGCUUUAGAUAUUCUUAACAAAUCACAGUCGAUUGCACGGUUGCGACCCGGCACUUAACGAACUUAUCUCGGCUCGCCCCGAGAGAAUUGAUCACCGAGAUAUAAGACUUCCGGCACGAAUUUCCGAAGCCACCUCGGCCAGCUCCGGCUACGUGAUCUCAUAAGUAACUGCACAAAAACACGCCUAAUCCAUUUUCCGCGGCCAUGAUGCACCAAGCACGUGAUCACUAUCGUUUUCCUCCAUUUUGCAAUGCUUUUUUAUUCAUUCGCGAUUCUAUAGAUUCUGCAAACGGAUAGCGCAUCAUUUUAUUUCUGUUACCUUUUAUUCAUGCGCUUGACGGGCAAGCGGAUUAAAUAUUGUAAAACGUCAAAAAAAGUCGUCCAAUAUUCUUUUAGGAGUAUAGCAUUAUAGUAACGCGUGGAUUGCUUGCUCUCUCUCUCUCUCUCUCUCUCUCUCUCUCUCACGUUUAUGUUUUGCGUGGCAGAGGACAAAUCGUAAAACUAUAAUCUCAUAUAAUUGACGGUAAUUUCUUGAUUUUGUUUUUGAUUUCAAAAUCAUUUCGCACAUGCCACGCAUGUCCUUUCAUAUGUGUAAUUUUACAUUUUUGAUGUUUGUAACAAGUACUGAACAUCUUAAACAGUAGAUAAAAAUUCAGAACGCCGCAUCAACCGUAUUGUUAACCAGACGGUUUCGUGCAUUUUUGCAUAAUAGAUUCGUGAACCAUUACGCGUCGUAGCCAGCUGACGUGCCGAAUUCCCAGGUAUUAUUAUCUCGCGUGUAACAGAUGUCGCGAAUUUCCAGAAAUUGCUCUCGAUUUCUUGAUAAAUUAAUCGUAGAAUUGGGUAGCGCCAAAUCGGGCCAACCGUUUCCUACUAUUGGGUUAUCGUGUAAUUUUAACGUCGCUCGCCAAAAAUUAAACUCAUCCUACUGAUUCAGUAUUAGGACGCUCUCAAAUUUUUCUGAGUGGAUACAAUGAAAUAGCAACAGAUUUCAUUUUUUUUAGCAAUUGAUACGUUUUGAAGCAGUCGUAUAAUCUUUCUCUCCAAUUGGACAAUUCCCGCUUGUCCUGCACUUCUUUCCAAUUACAGUUCCUGAUCAUUACGAGAACAAAUUGUAUCUCGUUACAGCUUCAUAUAAUCGUAUCUCGAAAAAUGUAAUAGAAAGCUGUGUGAUUUCGCAAAGUCUCUAAUACCAGGUACCGCAAGAUAAUUGUCAUUAUGCAAUUAUUGCGUAAUCUGAUCGCAGUAUAACUCAGUAUGCUUUUUCGUUUAACAUUAUUAUUUAGAAAUGUUCAGAAAUGGAGAUUACGAUUCUAGUAACAAGAAAUGAUAUAACUUAACACAAGAUACAGUUUAAAAAUCUUGUUAUGUUUUAUAUUAUUUUUUUCCGAUUUUUAACAAAAUCAUAUGUCUUUCAAAUCGGCAUGUUUUUUUAAGUCGACACAGUUCGUAACACAUGUUCAAUACAUUAACUCUGUUUCGUACAUUAGCUACGUUUUAUUUUGGGGCCAACAACACAUUUAAGAAACUAUUCGAAAGACCGUACUAAUAAUGAAACUUGUGAAACGCGAAGAUAAUUACAGUAUGGAUAAAGCAACAGCGGAAUAUUCAUUACGUUAGAUAGUAAACGUUGUCAGAGUCGCAUACUAAAUAAAUAGGGGAAAAAAAAAACAUUUUCAUCUGUCCUUUCCAUUAUUUGAAUGAAAAAACCUGUUAGAAGUUAAAAUAACCUAUCAGUAUGGCAAAACCAAAAAUGAACGACACGAAAAAGACAUCUCUUUGAAUGCAGGUACGGUGAUGUACGCGCUGAUGGGUGCGAGGUGGCUUGUUUCCGUUAUGAUAGCACAGCAUGCAGUAUACAUCGCCGUGUAAGCUAAUUACCGCGGUAUUUUAGCCGUGCGAGACCACUCACCUCACGGACUACGAAAUUACGCUGCGAGUUUUGACAAGGAAAUAUUCCAAAACGGAUAUGAUUUAUUAUCACCACAAACAGUUGCCGUAGUUAUAUUUUCAUAAAGAUAAUUAUUAAAAUUUUCAUUAAUUUCAUCAUUGCUUAUAUGCUAGUAGAUGCAUUCAAACAAAAAAUAAGAUUCACUAUUUAACAUUGUUAACUUUUUCUCACUCAUUUAAUCUAUGAUUAAACAAUAGCUAAUAGAAAUCAGCUAGCUCAGCUUGGCUCCGUGAUUAAUUUAUUGGAAACUUAACAACAAUUUCUGUUUAAAAUAAUUAAUUAAAAUGCACCAAAGAAUCUCGUUAACACAUUUUCGCGUAUACAUUGUUCUAAGGGCUUCAAACAACAUUUUUUAAUUUAAUUAUAAUGCUUUUCGCAAAUACUCUACGCAAAUGUUAUUUGCAAUUUUAUUCAAAAUAUCUGGUUAUCUUCGAAAUUUCUCUUCAAGUUGAAAUAGUGCCCGUGUCAAAUAGUGCUUGACACUAGCUAUUAUUUAAUCGCUUGGUAUGAAUUAGUACAGAUCGUUAUGCGAGACAGCGCGGAAGAGAGGGCGCCAAGACGUGGAGAAGAGAAAGGACCUAUGAGAAAAUGGUCAGACCGUUAGGAAGAGGGGUCGCAGAGUAGGAGCGGAGAUUGGGAGAAGGGAGGAGGCUUGAUACGUUCGAGGAGGGUAGCGUUGAUGCAGUCGCACCAGCCAGUCAGUGGCUGCUACGGCACAGCGACGCGCGCGCGUGCUCCUUUUCAAAUCGUUUUCGGGCCUAACAAACGCAAUAAACGAAAAAUGUUUUCGUCGGAAUAUGACACAAAACUUAUUACUUGUUAUGACACGAUAAUCCCGUUAAUUAAAUAAUCGCCAAUUGUACCCACCGAUGCUGUCUCUCGUUUCCCGCCGAUCGCGAUUACGAGUUUUCUGCGAAAUCGGUGUGUUACAUGCGUGACAAAAAGGAUGACAGCUUCUUGCAAAGUAUCCCUCUAAUUUUUUUUUUAUACGUGCAAAAUUAAAAUUCAUAAAGCUCCGUAAAAAAGAAUAAUGUGAGAUAAAGAUUAAUGUGUUGAAUUAAUACUAUUGUUUUUCUUCACAAUAACAUUUCAAAUGAAGAUAAUAAGUAGGUAAUCAAAUCGUUGACAAAGAGAUGCUUUUGAAGAUCUGAUGACAAAAUAUCCUCAGGCUUGCAAUUCGAUUGCACGUUUAUCUCACGCGUAUGUGACAUCCACAAUUGAUUGCCAUGGACAUAAUCUAACUUUUCUGUAAAAGACAUCGUUAAAAAUUCCGACUACGUACAUUCUCUAAGCCGAAUUGUGCGGUUGCUUUGUGACAUAUUUGAUGCAAGUUCAAUGAAGAUCCUUGCCGCCGCAUUUUGGCCCGAUUUCGGUGAAUCGUCAAUUAAUUGGAUGGUUUGCAAUUACGAUUAACUCUACUGCUUAAUUGGUCGCAGCGUAGCUGAUACUUUGAACAUUAUCACGACUUCAUCAUCUAUUUAAUUCUUUGCCUAUUUAAUCGAAAUAAUCAAUUGCGCGUAAUACAAUUGCAAAUAACGACGAAUAUAUUUAAGUGCAAAUAACCUAAAAUCGUCUCAAAAUCAUGACGGUUAAAUAAAAUACGUUUCACAUAUAGUUUAAUCAAAUUUAAUUAUGAUAUAUACAUAACUUGCGGUAUGAGAAAUAUGCAUACUGUGAACUAUUACAUAGCAUUAAUAGUCAUCAUAUAUUCAUUAUAUAUACAUAAGUAAACAAAAUUAUAUUGAUUACCAUAAAUGUAGAUCAGAAUAACGGAAGAACGGUAUUAAUAUGCAUAUUGGUAUCGGCUACUCUCUCUCUAUGAAACGUAAAUGUACCUAAAACUAAAGAUCGAUAGGGAUAAUGGAAGGAAAAUUAUUCAGUUUUGUAAUUCUAUUUUUUUUCCUUUCCAGUUAUGUUAUUCAUUCAUUAUUACUUUAUUCUUUGUACUACGCAUUAUUCUGUAAAAAUGCGCGUGCAUACACGUUGUUACUAACAAUCACCGAUUUCACAAUCCUGACUCGUGAUUGCGUGCCAAACCAAUGGUGAACACCAAUUGAUUUGACGAGCAGAUGUUCGCAAUCAGUAAAUUUAACAUCCGAAAAACGGCACAUCGUUAAUAAACGGACGAGCUGAGCCUAUAUCUCCGCAAACAAAAUCGACUUUUCUGUACGCUUCAAUAGCACUACCGUUAUUGUUAUUUAGUAAUUUAUACGAUAUUCAUUGCAACUGUAUAUUAUGGAAUUUUGGAGUUAUAAAUAAAAUUCAAAAAUAUUACUAGAGAGAGAAUGUUAUAAAAACGGAAAGUAUAAAAAGUAGGAAAAAUACAUUUACGUAAUUUGUAAAUUUUCAAUCAAUAAUAAUAUUUAUUGUUA